AGUUAGUUGGUGGGGUAACGGCCUACCAAGACGACGAUCAGUAGCCGGACUGAGAGGUUGAACGGCCACAUUGGGACUGAGAUACGGCCCAGACUCCUACGGGAGGCAGCAGUCGGGAAUAUUGCGCAAUGGAGGAAACUCUGACGCAGUGACGCCGCGUAUAGGAAGAAGGUUCUCGGAUUGUAAACUAUUGUCGUUAGGGAAGAUACAAGACAGUACCUAAGGAGGAAGCUCCGGCUAACUACGUGCCAGCAGCCGCGGUAAUACGUAGGGAGCGAGCGUUAUCCGGAUUUAUUGGGUGUAAAGGGUGCGUAGACGGACUUACAAGUUAGUUGUGAAAUCCCUCGGCUUAACUGAGGAACUGCAACUAAAACUGUAAGCCUUGAGUGCAGGAGAGGUAAGUGGAAUUCUUAGUGUAGCGGUGAAAUGCGUAGAUAUUAGGAGGAACACCAGUGGCGAAGGCGACUUACUGGACUGUAACUGACGUUGAGGCACGAAAGUGUGGGGAGCAAACAGGAUUAGAUACCCUGGUAGUCCACACCGUAAACGAUGGAUACUAGGUGUAGGAAAUAUUAAGUUUUCUGUGCCGUCGCAAACGCAGUAAGUAUCCCACCUGGGGAGUACGGCCGCAAGGUUGAAACUCAAAGGAAUUGACGGGGGCCCGCACAAGCAGUGGAGUAUGUGGUUUAAUUCGAAGCAACGCGAAGAACCUUACCAGGGCUUGACAUAUAAGUGAAUAAUUAAGAGAUUAGUUAGUUCUUCGGAACACUUAUACAGGUGGUGCAUGGUUGUCGUCAGCUCGUGUCGUGAGAUGUUGGGUUAAGUCCCGCAACGAGCUCAACCCCUGUUUCUAGUUGCCAGCACGUCAAGGUGGGAACUCUAGAAAGACUGCCGUAGAUAAUACGGAGGAAGGUGGGGAUGACGUCAAAUCAUCAUGCCCUUUAUGUCCUGGGCUACACACGUACUACAAUGGCUGUAACAGAGGGAAGCAAGCUAGUGAUAGCAAGCAAAACCCAAAAAGCAGUCUCAGUUCGGAUUGAAGGCUGAAAUUCGCCUUCAUGAAGCCGGAAUUGCUAGUAAUGGCAGGUCAGCAUACUGCCGUGAAUACGUUCCCGGGCCUUGUACACACCGCCCGUCACACCAUGAGAGUUGGGGAUACCCGAAGCCUGUGAGCCAACAGUUUACUGAGGCAGCAGUC
rnacentral:rRNA from 1 species